GGGCUUUGAGACCCUCCUCCUGACUGCCUGGAAGUCAGUCUUCUCUCAGUUUUCUGUGGAGCAAGAUGUACAACUCUCAGCUCCUUCUCCAGCUCCAGGCCUGCCUGGUUGCUUUUUUGCUCCCACCAUGAUGGGAAGAAAGGAAAGACCCCCUCUCAGCAUUGGCAAGAGAAUAUGGAGGCUCCAAGAGGAACGCCUUGUUGAAGUGGUGUCAGAAGAAAACAGAAGGCUAUCAGAAUAUUGACAUCACAAACUUCAGCAGCAGCUGGAACGACGGGCUGGCUUUCUGCGCAUUGCUUCAUACCUAUCUCCCAGCCCACAUACCAUAUCAAGAACUGAACAGUCAAGAUAAGAAAAGGAACUUCACCCUGGCUUUCCAGGCAGCUGAAAGUGUUGGAAUCAAAUCGACGCUGGACAUCAAUGAAAUGGCGCGUACUGAACGGCCCGACUGGCAGAACGUCAUGCUGUAUGUUACAGCCAUCUACAAGUACUUUGAAACCUGAGCACACAGGAGCGGCUGAUACCAGCUAGGGACCUCUGCAGUCACCAAGUGACACCAACACCAUUAGCUAGAACUCCUAAAGCUUUCAGUGACUCUGGGUCUCCCUGCAGGGAGUGUGCCCAGCUCUAGGCCUCUGCAUUGGAACUGGAACUGCAGGCCAGGGCUCUUCCGCAUGGCCGUCCUCAGGAGCAGAAGUACAGCACACCGCCAGCCUACUUCCAGAGACCGUCCGGCUCCACCAGGGCCCUGGAGUGCAAACAGCAUAAAGGCUGUGCCCGGCCGGGCUUAUCUUGGGAAAUGGGAUUAAGUUGUGGGAACCAUGGGUUAGUGAAAGCUUUAGCCAUCCAACUUCUUGACUAUUAUCCACGUGAUUCCCAGUGGUGGGACAGAGCUGGCUUUGGUCCCUUCAUGUGGGCCUGGGUUCUAGGAGUGUGUCAGAGGAAAGUGUCAGUACCCGUUCCAUGGAGAGGACCGUCCUAACCACUGCACUUAGCUUAGGAGUGUUAAAACCCUGCUUAUAGGCCCACAGCUCGUUGAGUCUACACUGCCACCAAGUAGGUUUUUGUCAGCAGCAAGACGCAGGUGGCACACUCAGUGGGUGCUCAGCCACUUGCCUGUAACACCAGGGAAAAGACUGGUCACAAGGAGUUCUCCUCAUUGAAGUUGUUGUUUUAUUAUAAGCAAUAUUGGUGAAAUAGCUCCUGUUAGUACCAAAGUUAAUCGUUUCAGUAAGCAUAGAACUAAAACACAGACUGGGCAUUAGCAUGUGAGAGGGAGGGUUCGUGCAGUAGGGAAAGGGGGGUGCUUUAGGGAGCCAGAGAUUCAAGUUGUACUGGUGGCUGCCCCUCCAGGGCAGGAGUUAAGACAGUGCCUUAGCCCUGCACCAGGACAGCUGAGCCUACACCCACAUGAGGAUCCUGUGUGCUGAUUGGGACUCCAGGAGAAGUGGCUCUACGCUGUGCCUGGGCUGUGGGGCCUAUAUCACGAGCCAAGGCCUUACCCGGUUUGUUGAUUUCUGGCUGGAAUUUAGCAGCCUCUUUUCGAGAAUAGGAAGCCCUUAUUUCAUGUGCCUGACACAGAAGCUGUUGUUUGAACAAUGUCAAGACCUGUUGCUCCGGGAUACACUUGUUUGUCACCUGCAAGGCACCAUGUGGAAGACUGGCCAUCAAUAAAAAUGGGGCCACAGCUUCAGUAACAAGAUGGAUGGUGGGAAUGUCUCCCAGGAGGCAUGCCAGGCCAAACAUGGACUGAGUGAGGUUCUGUAUUCAAGCAUAAUGCUACAGACUAGGAAUCUGUUGUAUCUAUGGAACGUAGAGAAGGAAGCAAUUUGAAAGUAGUUAUUGGGAAGUGGGCCGUGUCUGUUUGUGUUGCCAUCAGAUGGCCAGUCCCACCCCUCCACCCUGCUUAAAUGUCCCAAUCUGGCAGCUUAUGCUGCAGAGUGUACCAGGAGACCCUAUUAUUCUGUCUGCCCAGUGCCUCUCUGGCCCUCCUUGGCCCAGUUCUGUUCUUGUUCUUGUUCUGCUGAUGAACUCCGUUGGGGUGACCAUUGUGUGAAAAUGACUGUUUCCAAAUGAGUCUCCACUGAACUCCUCUGAGCUUCCAGCCUCUGCUGUAUUUGCCUUCACUGAGGCCUUCCACUGUGCACCAAGGUGGUGGAUCUGAGGCCAGGUUUUAUUUAUUAUCAUGAAAAGGGGUUGUCUUGUUAGAGACUUUCCUGGGCUUGCAGUUCACACCUUCUGUCCCCUGCUGGCUAUGUGAUCCUCAUGGCAGUGUGGAAGUUGCCCGAGUUUUCUGAAAGGAUUUGGAGUAAGUCAGCUGCUGCUGAACGAGUAUGUCCAUGUAGAGGUAACAUUCUGUUUUGGAAUCUGUGGGCCUGGGCUAGGCCUGGAGCCAGUGCAGGGACAGACAGAUGGUGGGCUAGACCCUCUCACAUGCACACACAGACUGGGUGUCUCACAGCCAGGGCCAGGCUGCCCACAUUUGUGUGAGGGUCCACAGUCAAGUGCUGUCUUCAGACCACUGCUUUUUGCCUUCUCUAAUAGGCCACUAAAGAGCACUGUUGACCCUCUGGGCAUGCUUGUAGAUGGCCAUGUGCUAUUAAAAGUAGUAUUUGGGAGUUCUUAGAGUGCCUGUCUACAAUGCACGAAGCCCUGGGUUGAUCCCUACCACCACAUACACUGAGUGUGGUGCAUACCUGUCAUUCUAGUACUUGGGGAAACGGAGGCAGGAGGAUCAUGAGUUCAGUGUUACUGUUGAUUACACGGUGAGUUUGAUGUCAGCCCUGGCAUGUGAGACCCUGUCCGCCAAAAGGUGAUAUUUGGAGGUUUUCUUGUUCUGGGGCUGUUUCCUGGGAAGCUCUAAGAUGUAAGCUCGCCUCUUCCUAAAGCACAAGCUUCGCUACAAAAGGGCCAGCUACCUUUCUACUGUUGUCAGUCACAGGCUUCUGCCGAUGAAUGACACUUUGUCAUUUUGUUCUAGUAAAUACUCUUGAAUGUAAUAAACUGUCAUGCGUCGAUUUCC
rnacentral:lncRNA from 1 species